rnacentral:lncRNA from 1 species
GUGCAGCCCUGGAUGUCCCUAUCCAUUGGUGAUGUGCACAGGAACCAGUGGGAGCAAGCAGGAAAAGUGCAAGCAGGGAAAAAAGAAAAGAAAAAAUGUCAUGGAGAUUUCCAGAAAAGGAGCAAAGAAGGAAAGUAGGCUUUCUGAGUCUAUACAAGGGGCUCAGUGGCAGCUGGCCCUAGGUGACAUAGGGGGUUGAAGUACUGGCAUUCAGGAGUCUCCUCUCACAGCGUGUGCAUCAUCAGGUUUGAGCUCCAGGGGUGCACAGCCUUGACCCACUAUCUGGAUUUGGAUGGGAGUGUCCAAGGUGAGCUAAGUUCUUCCAGCACACUGCUGACCACGGGCUAGGCCAGUGCAGGUCCCAUGGGUCCACAGGGGCAGCAGCCUGGCCACAGAAUCCUUUAUGGUCAUCAGGCUGGCAGUAGCACCUUAUAAUCUGAUGUCACCGUUGUCAGAGAACCAGAGAAGAAUUCUUAGUGGGAUCGUGGAGGUAUAUCAUAGUCCCAUCACAUGGUGAAGCAGUCAAUCCAAAGGCCCAGAUCUAGUGUGGAUAAAGGCCCACACAAACUAAACAGGCAAUGGCCAUCAGCCUCUUUGCCUUAGUGAGUGAGAGCUGUCACAUAGGCCUGUCCCAGGGUGAACCAGUGGACUUCCCCCUUAGUGGUGUUCCAGGCCCACUCCCACAACUGAGGGGUAGUUCCUAAAAGCAGCCAUACUCCUCCAGGGCCAUGUUCCUUCAUUUAUAAAUCCUGGGUCAUAGUUAUCCAAUUUCCAACCCAUGUAGUAGCCCAUGGUGGCAAGUGGGGCCCAAAUAUCUGCCUGACCAUGAAGCUCAAAGCAACCAGUGAGAGACUCUGGUGACUGGAGCACAGUGGGUCAUCCCGUGAGGAAGGUCUUCAGGACCAUCUUAAUAAGCAAAGGUCAGGCAUUGGGUCAAUGUCAUUGAGAUCUGAGCCCCUGUCUAGUUGCUUUGAUACUGUGGCUUAGGCAGGUGGACACAAAAGUGGCUCGUGCAAUCCCUCCAAGGAAGGUUCAGGUCAGGGUUCUGGCGCUCCCAACCCAGGAAUCCUUAGUUGCCCCAGAAAGUGAAACAAUGGGAGAAGGCUGGAUUUAAAAUAAGGGCAUGUAGUGAGGGCUUGUGCACUUGGAAUAAAUGGCCCAAAUAGUACAGAAACAUUUUGGUGCUUGUUCUAGGAUAUCUAAAUCCAAUCAGUUGUGGUCAUCUUACUGGACUUGCACAAGUUUAGCUUGGAGCAGACUGCCAUGUCCUCUUCUAUGUCAGCCUGGCAAGACCAGAUACAUUUCCAUGGUUACUGGCAGGGUUAAAGGCCCUGUAUCUGCUGUUGACAGGGCACCAGGCUCCCCUGGAAGGGCAGCCCAGACAUUGGUGUAGGCUAGGAAGGUGCAGAAAGCCAAGGAGUCCUCACACAGCCACUAUCAGCAUGCUGCAAGAGCCCAUGCAGGCUUUGGUAGAGGUGGUUAUACAAAUGGGCAUGGAUGGGUUUGAGUUAGCACUUUCUUGGCAAAGGAUCUAAUUGGCUGAGGCAGAACUGCUGAUAUUUGCUGGUGAGAAAGGAGUGGGUAAUGAGGAAGAGGCAAAUAAAGUAGACAAGGAGAGAGUGAAUGGCACAACCCCAGAGUCAGGGCAGUGCCCACAUACUGCUUUCAGCCUCUCAUUGCGCCAGCAGCACCAGUCACAGGAAUUAGAUAGCUUGUCCCAGGUUGGAACAGAGUCACUUUCUACUCAUUCCAACCUUCCACUAAUAAGCAUAAGCACAAACUAAGGAGGUAGGAGCAGGGGAAAUGUACUCACUUAGGUGGAAGCAAGGCGGUCCUGGCCCACGUCAUAGUCUUUUGUUGGGCACAGGAGAGGAAUAAGGUCAUUCUCUUGUCCAAGGGUGUGCCUUCACUAUAAAACAGAGAAAGAUCAUAGCUAGAGAUUAUUCCCAGGGUGUCUUUUUCUUCAUUGGCCACUCAUUCUGUGGGGCCAGAUCAUAGUGCAACUACUUCCAUUUGUUCCCCCAUGGAGUGUGGUUAGAUGCUCAGUGAUGAGUGAGCCCCAUGAUGGCUGGGGAACCCAAUAAUUAGCACAAGCGCUCCUCUAUGAUAGUCAAUGGUGGACAUGCUGUGCUAGUAGCCACAGUAUCUGGUACUGGCACUCCCUCCUCAUCUUGUACCAAUUCCUCAUCUCCUGGGUACUGGAAACAGAUAUUGACAUCAAAUAUCCACACACCUGUCAGAUUUUCUAUUGGAAUAGGCAGAGUAUAGUCACUAGUUUUGGGGGUUAAGGUGUUUUGUUGAAAUUGCUACAGUAUCUUCUGUUGGAUUAUAGAAAACCUGUCUGCUCUAGCCAUACCUUAAGGGGACCUAGUCCUCGUUGCAUGGAAUCUAGUCAUAGAACAUAGGCCUGGGUCUAGAAGUGCAUUAUUAGCCGUGGCCACCUGGCUAUGCCCGUCUGCAUAGAAAUUGUGGAAUGAAGAAGGGUCAGUUCUGCCAUUGGGAAGAGAGACAUGAUCGACAAAGAUGGUGACAAGGGAAACUAAGUAUUUCUACAAAGACAUGGCCUGGGUCUCUCAACCUCGUACCAUCCAUUAUCUGACAACCCCCUCAUGACUCCAUAGGGUGAGGCCAUUGGUGCUGGACUAGGAAGAUGUAUGACGAAUCUUUGCUUACUAAAGCAAAAGGGCAAGCAGGAACCACAGACUCUGUACAUACUGCACAUGCUCUUCUUUCCCCUCAGUAGUCAGGGCCUGGUCAAUGGUAGGGUAGUACCUUCCGCUGCCGCAAGAUACCUAUCCCAUAAGAUCUAUGAAGCAGAAAACCCUGGCUUGCUCUGUGCUCGGUUCCAGAUACUGUCCAGGAAUCUGUGUCCCUGAGUGGGGCAGACUGCCCCAGGCCAUGGGGUAAGCAAGGAAGCUCACAAAGAUGGCUCCCCCGUUCAUUCAUCAGCUGUGAUCAGUUCUGAGGAAUUCUGCUCCUAAGCUCGUGAGAGAAGGGAAUACCCUGCAGCCUCCUGGGGCUGUGCCACUGCUUGUUCUGGCCAUACUCCCGAUGCUCCGCUAGGAAAGGGGUGAGGGGGUGGGCUGCUUUCCAAGCAAAGAAAACGCACUCUAACAAGGUGGGGGGAGGGGCGCUGCACCUUUGGCUAAGCCUGGGGGAGGCUUAGGAGGAUCAGGGCAGGGGUUUUCCUGGGCUUGUCUAGGAGUCUUUGCAAGGUCAUGUUCCAGGUAACUUUGACCACAUCUCUUUGCACCAACAACAGAAACGAUGCAUCGAGGCAAUGAGGCCUUGGAAUUAAGGACUAUGACUAAACGCAAAAACUCGGACCCAAGCCUUGAACUCACUGGUUUCCCGAGGACAUCCCCCACCCACUUUUAUACCACGUGCCUUUUGCUAAGGGAACAAUUCUUUCCCGUGACGCACAUGCCCAGAGAGACCAGAAUCCCGCUCAUGGGCUUCCGCCACUGACGUCAUACCCUACUUCCGGGAAUCAUUGGUGGGAUGUGACUCAUGGAGCUUCAUUGCUCCGAGGGGGAUUUAGGGUGAGGGAGGGCGGAAGUUUGGUGGCCACUCCACCCCCCAAUACCAGACAACUGGCACCUUCAGUGCCCUUCCUGGCAGGCCCACGCAGUCACUCUGCGUGGUGGGGGAAUUCUUAGAGUCUAUCGGGACUGUUUCAGGGCCUCGCGGGGCUCUUAUGGGUCUUACAGAGCGUGGUAGGGCACGACUGGCUGGGGGUCAUCUGCGCAGGCGCCGCGGGCAUCACUGAGGACACGUGGCUUUUUCAACUGAAGCAGCAAUGACCGGGAUGAGGUUUUGGUACCCAGUGACGUGGGUUUCUUAUAUGUCAUCAGUUUUGCUGAGUCAUCUACAGUACUGUGUGAGGACAGCCGCCUCACAGGGUCUUCCAGUUAAAGGGGAGGUUUUUUUAGCCAAGGAUUUGGGCCUAGUCAGUCAACGUUGAGGAGUCAUUUGCGCAUGCGUUGAUGAGAUUGGGGACACGUGAUCUUAGCCUGAAGCGAUAGCAUUGCGCCAGUCUCUGAUGGGGCCAGUUUUUCCUACCUCCAUCAUCGCGGCGUUGUAAGGAACAAGUAAGAAUGGAACCCUUAAAGGCUGUGAAAGGGUUAGCCAUUACCGUUUAAACCAACAAGGGCAACAGUAUCUUCUCCAAACCACAUUUCUGGAAUUCUCAAUCAUGAGCAUCAACAUUUUCAAAACCCUUCUCCAUGAUAAAGAGUUACCCCGCUUCUUAAACUUAAUGAUCUUAAGGGUAAUGAAUUCCUACUCCUACGUUAUUUCCAAAAGCGUCUAUGUAGCUUUUCAGUGGUAAUAUGGGAGAAGGAUGGAAACCCUUCCAUACUCCAACUCCAGGAGAAGAGAGGAUUCUGGGUGUCUGCUCCUCAUGGUGAGUGGAAAUUUACAUUUUUUUUUUUUUUUUGCAGCAUUUGUUUUUUUUUUUUUUUUUUUUUUUUUAAUUUAAUAGCCUUUUAUUUACAGGAUAUAUGCAGACCCCCAGCCAGUCGUGCCCUACCACGCUCUGUAAGACCCAUAAGAGCCCCCCUCCCCCAGAUGGCAGGAUGACCAGUAGAUGGUAAGUACAUUAAAAUAUAAAUUAGAUACACAAUAAGUAUACAUGACCAAAACGUUAUUUUUGCAGCAUUUGUUACACAUAAUUCUGGAUUUCUUUCUGAAUUUGGGAUGACUUCCAGAUAGUCCAGUAAGACUUUGACUUCAGAUGGUCAAAAUGAUCUCUUGAAGUUGUUCUUUGGGAGGCAAUUGAAGGCACACAACUAAAGGGUUAAAUAUCUGAGGUUUUGAAUUCAGUUCCUCAACUCCAGGGCCAGUGCUAGUCCAUUGUGCCAUUUAUCUGUACCCUACCCCAUCCCCACCCCCAGCUUGUGAAACAGGAGUUGGCUCCUUGCUCACCACCUCUCAGUGAAAAUUUCCAAUGCUCCCUGAAAUGACUACAUCUAAAACCUAAACUUCCUACAAUGUUAAAAAUCCCAGUACUUACCUUCACACUUUACUCUAAAAAACCAUGAGUAUGUAUCAACUCUUACCACCCGUAGCCUCCUAAUGAGCAUCAUAAGUGUAACAAUACUUUAUCACAGUAGCUGUCUUAAAGGCAGUGGGACAGAAGGGAGCCAAAAUAUAAGGAUCAUCCUACUUCUAACAUAUCCAAGUGACUGAGAGGCAGUACCAAUGGGAAUUUUAAAGAAAUUAACAUUUCCGCUAGUUAUGGUUUUAGAACUGAAGAGAAAGUGGGGAUUUGUGGAACAAGCUUCAGGUUUCGCCUAGUGAGAAAUGUUGAGGAAAAGUGUUCCAGAUGUGCAUCCUGCUGAGAACUGAAGGUGGGAGGGAUCUGCUUGUCUCUUGUAAGAAUAUAUGUCUGGAAAACUCACUUGGCAAAGCUUUCCACUUUCCCUAAAGGAUUUUAACUCAUAAUCAUUCAGUAAAGAAAUAUGAUUACCGUAACCAAACCAGGUGGUGAAACAAAUUAAAAAAUAAAUACAAAUCAAUUUACCAUAUACCGUGCAAGACAAUGCCAACAAAAUUCCUUUUUUGAAGUUGAGCUUUGUCUCCCUGUGACAAAAUACACAUGAGUUUGGAAGUUUCAUUUGGGAGCAGGAUACGGAAAACUUUCUGGAAAAAUGUUUUAUUUGGUUCCUCUCAAGAUGACAGAUUAGAUUUUUAUAGCACAAAUGUUUUGCCCUUAAAUUACCAUAUCCAGUCACAUAGUUCUUUCAUGGACAGCCUGGGUGAUUUUGGACAGUCCACUUUUUCUUCAUAUAAGGAGAUAAACCAAAUUGUCAUUGGGAAACUGAAGAGAAAUCGUUGUUCAGGAACUAGUAUCCCCCUUCCUGUCUUCUCUAUAGAAACUUCCUGUACUUUAGUUAGAAUCUAUUUUAAAAGUUCUCCCUGAGUAGGAAACAAACAAACAAAAAACAGUAGCAAAACAUGCCUCUCUGCUGCAAAGCCAUUUAUAAAAACAAAACAAAGCCAAAAAGAACCCUUUUCCCCCCUUAUCCUUUGUACUCAGUAGUGUCAUUGUAGUAAUUAUGAGCAAAAGAGAAAGAUAACCACUGUUAUUCAUAUUUCAAUGGUCUGUCUCCUAAAAUUAUUUGUUCACAGUGGGCUUUUAGAGUCAUGAUAACACAACUUUAAGAGUCCACAAAUGGUAGUGGAGACAUUUAGAAUUUUUUUUUUCUAUUAUGAGAUACACUUAUUGCCAAACUGACUUACUCAUCACAGAAAGGGAAAAAUACCCCUCAAAUCCCAUGAAGAUUAAAAAAUCGUAAUAAAUUAAUUAUUUAUAAUAAUAAUAUAAGUAAUAAACUGUAGUAAAUGAGAGAGAGCAUUGGAGUCCAAGAAGUUCAGUUCUUCUGAUAUAGGUGACCCAGUGCAGGAAUUUUAACCUUUUACUGCUAUCCCUUCCCACUGCCAUCCCUUCCCCUGACCCUCCCAUCCCAGUUUCCUGAGAUUCUUAAAUUACAAAUUAGUCGUUGAUCUAAAUUGGUGGGCAGUUUUCACACCAGGAGUUCUCUAGAUGGAUCAAGGUCUGGACCACCUUCUUCCCUCCAGCUCCCUCAAAAUAACGAUUGAGAGCUUAGUGACUGUAAUUUGAUUUAUAAUAGUAGAAGAAAUGAUCACUUGAAAAGGCCAGGAUUUUAUCCAAAGUAUUGCUUAGUUCAAACUAGACAGAACCAAGAAAAAAUAAAUUAACAGACUAAUAUACUCAAUUCAUUUUUUGUUCGUUUGAUUUUUUUUUUUUUUGGAAAUCUGAAGAGACAUAGUGACCGAUUUCCCCUUUCCAGCCAAGACUACGUCUUUACAAAUUCCCUUUAUGUUAGACAAAAGAGUUCCCUAAAGAGCUCCCUAAAGGAGCCUUAAUUUUAAAAUGCAUUGAGAUAGGGGGAAAGAGAACAGUGGUAACCUGCUAGCUGAUGGUUGGUGUGAAGAGAGUUAAACAGGCUUGCCCAGCUUUCAGAGAAAACUCUUGAGUUACCCACCAGAUAUUAUUGCCUAUGUUCUUCUCAAACCCAACUUUUUCCACUCUCAGGUUCUACAACCCUUAUUACAUAUCAAGUUUGUGUCCUCCCACAAGCUGGGGGGUGGGGUGGGGGGAACUAACCCAGGAUUUCCAGUAUGUGCUUGGUCUGUUUGGCCAAAGGUGACUAACUUAGUGGACUGAGGUCGACCUCCCCCUCCCCCAAAUCAAUAAUUUAAUGUGACUUAUCAGAAAGAGAAAGAAUUGUUUACUUUAAAUCCCUGGAUCCCAUAAAGGGAGAGAGGGAAAGGCACACUGGGAACAGAAGCUGCAGAGGGCCUUGUUUCUGCCUCUGGGCUGCUGAAAGGCAAAGCAGGAGAAAGCUCUUUAGAGGGAUGCAUCUAGCUCUAAGAGAUGUGUGGAACGCCAAGGCCCAGUCACUGUUCAGAUCAGAAUCUGGGACAGACCCUGCAGAGGAGAAGCUCCCCACCAUGCAGCCACUCUUGGAGGUGGUAAGUGUCUCCUUAUAUCACUUUCUGUCCCUUGAGGUAAAGUAGAUUUUGCUUUGGGAGCAGGCACUGACACCAAACACUUUGGACAGGGAGAGGUGGUUAACAUUUCAGAAGACAAAACCUGGGUAGCAUCUGGGAUUCUAGGAAAAUGUGUUUGUCUUUCUGCUAAAAUGACUAAACUUUGAGGCCUUGAGGAGAAAGCAGGCAUCUGCCAUCUAAAGGGUUGGCGUUGCCUUCUCUAGGAAGGUAAAAGAAAUGAAGAAGGCAGCCAGAGCCAGUUGUUUGGAGUAUAAGAACUAGGGUCAAUUAAUGUUUCGCUAGCCCAGAUUUAACAAAAACCCAGCCUAGAAAGAAACAGGCAAAAUAAUAAAAGAAUUAAUAAACAAUAAACAUGCUCCCAUAAAAGAAAGGGUAAGUCCAGUACCUAAGGUUCCCUUGAUACUAUAUCUUUUGGGUUUAUCUUUUGAUUUUAUAAAAUACCAACCUCCACAGACAUUCUUCUUCUCUUCCUCUCUCACCUUUAAUUAUUCUGCAGAUAGUACUUAAGAAUAAUUAAGCAUCAGCACAGAAAUGAAAUUGGCUCACAAGAAUCACUAGGCAAACAGCCUUUCCCUUUCAAGUGUCAGCCACUCAAAUGAUAAUUUAUUGAGAACUCCUGUUAGCUCUUACAUUGGUGAUUGAUUUAAAGAACAGUUAGCAAGAGAUCUCAUGAGCUUAGAUCUGGUGGAAAGAAUGCAGAACCUAAAGUCAAGAGACCUGGGUUAAUAAUAACUACCUGCCUGCAGGGUUAUCAUGAGGAAAGUCCUAUAGAAACGCUGGUUAGCAUUCAUUGGUUUUAUUAUAGGAAUAUAUUUAUCUGCUAAGUCACAAAUGGGUUGUAGACUAUAUGGUGGAGAAUGAUAUACUCCCACAAAAUCAAAACUUCCUCAGAAAUCAUAGAUUGUAUCAUAGUUUUUUUGAGUUAGAGGGAGCCUUAUAGAUCAUCUAGGACAGUGGUUCUCAAAUUCUGGUCCAGAGCAUCCUGAGGAAUCUCUGAAAUCCUUUCAGAGAGUCUACAAAUUCAUAAUUGGUUUUUAUUUUUAAUGUGAUCAAUAUCUAUAAUUAUAACCCACAUAAACAAAAACUCUUUGGACAGAUCCUCAAUCAUUUUUAAUAGGAUAAAGAUAUUGAGAACAAAAGUUUGAGGACCACUGAUCUAGGACAACCAUUUCAUUAUAAGAAAUUGAGGCCCAAAGAGGUUAAGCUACUCAAACUCACAUAGGCAUAGAUCCAGCAUUUGAAUUCAUUUCUCUUGAUUUCUUAUUUAGUGUUCUUCACUUUUAUACCAUCCUGCCUGUCCAGGGAUAACCAUUUUAAGUUGGUAUGUUGAUUUUCCAUAUAGUGAGAAUAAAAAAAGUUUCAAUGAAUUUUGAAGGAGAAUACAUCAAGGUGGUAAUUUUCUUUGUGGCAUAUUUUAGUUCCGUUCAAGGAGCCAUGAUCUCCCUCAGGAUUCCUUCCAUUCACUCUGAUCACAGUUCCUCCUCACCUCAUAGUAGAUGAGCUUUAACAGAUUUAUUACUUGAUAGCCAGCCUUCUGAUCUGGACUUUCUGUCCCUAUCUAUGUUGAUUUUCUGUUAAUGCAUAACAUAGUCUUUCAGUGGGCCAGUAUUCAGUGUUUCCAACAUAGGAGACCUUGCUAAAGUUGAUAUUCGGGACACAGCAUUCAAGAGCCCAGUGUCAUCUCCAGCUAGCAACAGAAUAACUUUGGUAGAGGAGUUUCCUAAUUAUGUCAAAUUAAUAAAUCAAAUUUAAAAAACAAAACCAAACUAUUUCAUUAUCUACUUUGUAAGCUGAAAACCUUCACUUUACUGUACACUAGAAAUAAUGAUAUAACUAAUGAAAUUUAAAAUAGCAUACUUUUCAGUAGUUUUAUAUACAUGUAUAUUUCUGAAAAUGUGUGUAUGUAUAUUUGUAUAAGAUAUGUGUAUGUAUGUGUGCGUGUAUGAGUGUGUGUGUGUAUGUAUGUGUGUAUCUGAGAAGUCUACCAAAAGAACCUGCUGUAAUUUCAAACUCUGAAUCUUCAGACAUAACAAGAUUAUGCUGGAGGGGGAAAAAAAAGAUGAGUAUCAUCACUUUAUCAGUCAAAUGAAUGACUAAAUCCUUUCAAUGAACUGGAUUAGAAACUGAUUGGAGUUUAAUGCUUUCUCUUGUUUACUUUCUGUCUCUGUUUCUGUCUAUACACACACACACACACACACACACAGAGGAAUAAGAGCAUUCAAUAAACACUUUAACACUACCUUAAGGCCCUGGGAGUGCAAAGAAAAAGCAAAAAUAGUUCCAGCUCUCAGAGAACUUACAUUAUAGGAGUUUAUAUUUUGUAUUCUCACUUGAUCUUCUUAACAGCCCUGUGAAGUAAGUACUUGAACUAUUUUUAUUCACAUUUUACAGAUGAAAAAAGUGAAAUAAGCAACAAAGUGACUUUCUCAUGGUCAUAUAGUUUAAUCUUAUGUCAUAGGGGUGGAGUCUGAUACAGUUCUUUCCUCUAAAUCCAGUAUUUCUUUCACUAUCCUGCUUGCUUUAAUGCCUAUAGUACCAUCCCACCCCACCCCCAAAGCAUUGCAAGGAUCAUAAAAAAUAACAUGAAAAGUGUUUUUCGAACCUUAAAGCACUACAACAAUAGCAGCUAUUACCUCUGUUAUUAAUGCCAAAAAUAUUAAUAAUAAUAAAAGGUAAUCAUUUGAUAUUGUCGCAAAAAUUUUUAAAUGGCUAAAUAUAAAGUGCUGAGUUCAUAGCUGACAUUUUGUAAAUCUUUAUGAGUUGAUCAGAAAUCAGAGCAAUCAGAAAUCUUCCAUGAUCCAUCUGAAGAACUCUGGAGAAGUUACCCUGAAGAUAACAUCUUCUCCAAGAUGUCACCUUUUCAUGCUUAUUGAUGAAAGAAUAACCUUUGUCUAUUUUCUGAUUAGAACCUUCUGGAUCUUUGCUUUGAGGGUGGAGGGAAAAUGUCCAGUAGGAGGUUCAGGGUGGACAGCAAUGCUGAGAAUUGCUUCAUUUUGGGGUUUAUGAAGAAAUAGAAAAUUGGAAGAAUAGUAGGGAUUAAAGAAGAAAAGAUAGUAUAAACCUCAUUUUAACUUUGACUUUUCUUAGUUCUUAGUCCAGUUUCCCUUAUUAGAUUGCAAAUUCUUUCUUGUAUUUGCUUGUAUUUGUAAUUGCAAUACUUAGUACAAUGCUUGGCAUAACACUUACUAAAUGCACUCUUUCUGUCUUUCUCUGUCUGUUUCUCCCUCAAUUCUCAUCUCUUCUUCUUUUUCUUCCUUUGUAGAAUUCUUAAGAAGUGAUGAGCCACCCAGCGGGGACAGUAGAGAGAAGUUUAUACCUCCACUAUGGCCGAGGACUAUGAAAGAAAUAGAUCAAGAAAGAAGGAAAAAGAAAAGCUGAGAAAGAAAACACAAUGCAAGAAUGCUAUGUUAUAAUCCAUACUCAGUUCCCACAGUCCUCUCUCUGGGAGUAGAUGACUCUCUUCUUCACUGCACAAGUGGAACUGGUUUGAAUCAUCUCAUUGUUGAAGAGAGCCAUGUCCAUCAGAAUUGACCAUCAUAUAGUCUUGUUGUUGCCGUGUAUAAUGAUCUCCUGGCUCUGCUCAUUUCAUUUAACAUCAGUUCAUGUAAUGCAUAGAGAUCUGGAGACUUCCUUUUUGGUGGGUUCAUGGCAGUGCUGCCAUGUGGAAGUGCAACUAAUAUUCUUUGGGCUGUGUGUUAUCCUUGCCAGAGCUAUGGAGUGUGACAAUGGUGUUUGUGUCCAGUCUAUCAAACGCCAUUAUCACACUAAAUAGCUAUAGUUGGGUACUCCAUCUCUUCAGGGAAGAGCAUGUCAAGCAUCGAGUCAUCUGCUGAAGAUGGACAAAACUGUUACUCUUACUUUAAUGCCCUGUUCAUUCAUGGAUACCAAAGAAAUUGCCAAAAUGGUGGCUCAUAAAAGGGUAUAUUCUUUCAGAGGCAGAAUUUUCUCAACUUUGCCUUUUACCCUUUGCUAUAAAUGGAUGUUUUCCUGAAGGAUGUAAGCUCCUUGAGGGCAGAGAUUAUUUUGUUUUAAUUUUCAUCUUUGUAUCCAUAGCCUAUCACUGCAUCUAGUACUAAUAAUCUUUAAUAAAUGUUUGUUGAAUUGAAUAUAUUUCUGAGUCCCUAAAGAAGAUGCAUACCAUCCCACAGGAUUUAGCAUGCUGCUAGACACAGUGGAUCCAACAAUAAAUAUUUCUUGAAAUGCAGUAGCAAGGAGGGAAUGGAUAAAGGGAAAAGAAAUCAUCUGGGAUAUGCAAAUAAUUUAUUAUUUACAUAGAAAGUAAAGUAUUUGCCUUUUUUCUUUUCAUUAUGGAAUUCCUUUCAAAAGCACACGGUAAUAAACUUACAUUUGGUCUAAUUGACCUCCUAGAAAUGUUAGUGCACAUGUUUGACUCCUAACAAUUUUAUUCAAUUACAGUGAUGAUUGCUAUAUAUGUAUGCACGAUUCCCCCUUCCCUAAUGUAUCCUUUAAUUAUCCAUUAUGUUGAACUGCUGAAAACAACUUUUGAAAUUGUUAGCUCUUGUGGCCUAUUUAAUAAUUGAACUCAGCAGAGUUGAAAUGCAAUAGAGGUAAAGGGGGUUGGUUCUUAUAUCCUAAACAAGGAGAGGAUCAGAAGGUGUACUGGCUUAAAAUAAUUUGAAUUAAUCAACUGCAUGAUAGCCCAAGUUGGGCUUUUUCCUCAGAAUCCAGUUAUUAGGACUAAAUUCUUGACACUGGAUCAUGUUUUGUGUAUGAGGCAAACUGAUGGUAUAUGCAGUUUUUCAGUUUCCAGUUGUCCUGGAAAUGGAGACUAUAAUCAUACAAAGAAACUCCAGAAUACCUGAUGAGUGAUUAAAAACAAAAAGAAAGAAAUGGAAUAGUGGAAAGAACACCAGACCAAGAGAGAGGAAUUCUUUCUUUAAGGAAGUCAUUAAAUCUCUUUUGGCUUCCUGGAGCAGCAAGGUGGGUAACACAGUGAAUAAAUAAAGGGCCUGACCUAAAGUAAAGAAGACCUGAGUUCAAAUCCAGCCUACUUAUUAACUGUGACCUGGAAAAGUCAUUUAGUCCUACUUGUCUCAGUUUCUCAUCUGUAAAAUGAGCUGGAGCAGGAAAUGGCAAACGACAUGAGUAUCUUUAUCCCCUAAAAUGGAGUCACAAAGAGUCAGACAUGAUUGAAAUAAUUGAACAAUAACAAAAAUGGAAGGCCAGCCUAGAUGAUCUCUUAAGUUAUAAUUCUAACAAUCUCUGAAUCUAAGUAAUACCAUUAGUCAAAUGAAUAAAAUUUACAAAAUAAUUCAUUAAGGAAUUUUGAAAACCUUAAUGAAAAUACCUUAAUGAAGAGAUUAUCUUCAGUACAUUUAGUAAAAAAGAAAAAAAAUUGCAUUAAUGGUUUACAAAUAUCACAUUUCAAAGAAAUGAGUUUGUUUAUUUAGAGGACAAAAAUACAAAUCCAAAGAACAGAGCUUAUGGAACUGGAAGCAAGGAAGGAAAAAGAGGGAGUAAAUAAAAAAAAGGAUAUGACACUAUUCCAAUCCACUAUAAUGGUUUUGGGGUUUUUCACAGGGGAGAGACUCACCAGCCAAUGAUACUGCUAAAAGCAAGAGAUCUUUAAUUUGAUACAUUUUCAGCUUCCCCAAGGGAAGAUUUAAGGUCUAAGGGAACACCUAGCAAUGGGAACAAAUAAGGGGAGGACAGAAGCAACUCAGGAGGGAUACAACCAUAUUUGUAAUAACAGUAUUUAGGCCACAGCAGGAUAAGAAAAGAAGUUCAAGGAUGUGAGUGAAGAGGAUAUAUGUUGUCCUUUGUAUACUUAGCUUUGCUUCUACAUAAGAUAGCUAAGAUCUUGUCUCCAUCAGGGAAGCACACCAGCUCUUCCCACCCUUCUAAAACUAGGUGGGGAUCAACACAGGUCAAUUCUCUAUACAAAAGUAUUUUCAUAGAUUAGGAUGGUCAGCCAAUGAGAAGAGUCAAAGAAAAUUCAAAUUGCCAGAGAAACAACAAAACAAAGCAGAAGAGGGAAGGGUGAGUUCUUGCUCAUACCUGGCUGAUUGAUCUCCUUCAUUUGCUGUCAUAUAUAACAGAUGCUAAUUAACCAGGUGGAGUAUGGGCAUAGAAGAUUAUAAAAGAGGGAAGGGGCCAGGCUGGACGAAGAGUUGUGUCUGAAGCACAUAUAGCUUGUUUCAAGAAAUACUGGAUUCAUCUGCAUCCAAAAAGAGAACUAUGGAGAUUGAAUGUAAAUCAAUACAUGCUAUCUUCGCUUCUUUUUUUUCUGUUUUUUUCCUUGUGGUUUUUCCCUUUUGUUCUGAUUUUUCUCUCCCAACAUGAUUCACAAAGAAAUGUGUAUUUAAAAAGUUAAUACACAUGAAUAAACAGAAAAAAAAAGCAAUAAAGAAAAAAAGACUGGACCCCCCAAAAAAGAGAGGAGUGUGAGGAUACAUGUAUAUGUAUAUAUUCUGUGAAUUAAUAACUAUCAUAGAUGUAGGAAGGGAAAGUUUAAGUUUGGUCCUUAACUAUUGAAAUUCACCUUGUCAAAUGACUUCUCAUCUAAUUAAAUUCCCUUUAUUUUUUUCAAUUUUGAUAUCUUCUUUUCCGAUUCAUUGAUGUGUC